CCCCCUCCAUCUUCUCCCCAACCUUAGAUGGUUUAAUCUCCUCUUCUUCUCCCUCCAUUGCUAAGAUUGGAUCUUGAUGCAGGUGCAUGUUGGUCCAAGCAUGGAGAAGGUUGAGCUAUCCUCAGAUCUGAUGUUCUUGAGCAAAAUCCAAAUCGAGUGGUUCAAAGUUCUGCAGAUAGAUCAAAAUCUGGUCAGAUCUGACUUUGUCGAAUUAAAUCAGGAGCUUGGAAACGAAUUUUUGAAUGAAACUAGUUGGG